AAGAUGGCGAGCCAGACCCAGAUUUGCAAAUCAUCUUCUUCAUCACAUCAGUGAGGAAACCUUUUGAGUACAGUGACUCGCUGCCAGAGCGAACCUAGAACUGGUCCAGUAGCGCAGACAGUGGUGUGAUACCAGUGCUACAACAUUGCUACAAAUAGGUUUAAAUAUUUAAAGAAGCGGCAAUGAUUUUGCUUUUUUUUGCAUCGUAACUACUGUGUGUUACAAGAAUUAUUGAAUAAAUAAUUGUUGACAAUA